rnacentral:rRNA from 1 species
GACGAACGCUGGCGGCGUGCUUAACACAUGCAAGUCGAACGGAAAGGCCCUGCUUUUGUGGGGUGCUCGAGUGGCGAACGGGUGAGUAACACGUGAGUAACCUGCCCUUGACUUUGGGAUAACUUCAGGAAACUGGGGCUAAUACCGGAUAGGAGCUCCUGCUGCAUGGUGGGGGUUGGAAAGUUUCGGCGGUUGGGGAUGGACUCGCGGCUUAUCAGCUUGUUGGUGGGGUAGUGGCUUACCAAGGCUUUGACGGGUAGCCGGCCUGAGAGGGUGACCGGCCACAUUGGGACUGAGAUACGGCCCAGACUCCUACGGAAGGCAGCAGUGGGGAAUAUUGCACAAUGGGUGGAAGCCUGAUGCAGCAACGCCGCGUGCGGGAUGACGGCCUUCGGGUUGUAAACCGCUUUCGCCUGUGACGAAGCGUGAGUGACGGUAAUGGGUAAAGAAGCACCGGCUAACUACGUG